rnacentral:rRNA from 1 species
UACGAAGGGGGGCUAGCGUUGCUCGGAAUUACUGGGCGUAAAGCGCAUGUAGGCGGCAGCGCAAGUCGGGCGUGAAAUCCCACGGCUCAACCGUGGAAGUGCACUCGAAACUGCGCAGCUAGAGUCCUGGAGAGGAAGGUGGAAUGCUUGGUGUAGAGGUGAAAUUCGUAGAUAUCAAGCGGAACACCGGUGGCGAAGGCGGCCUUCUGGACAGUGACUGACGCUGAGAUGCGAAAGCGUGGGGAGCAAACAGG